AUUGAACGCUGGCGGCAUGCUUUACACAUGCAAGUCGAACGGUAACAGGGAGCUUGCUCCGCUGACGAGUGGCGAACGGGUGAGUAAUAUAUCGGAACGUGCCCAGUCGUGGGGGAUAACGCAGCGAAAGCUGUGCUAAUACCGCAUACGAUCUAUGGAUGAAAGCGGGGGAUCGCAAGACCUCGCGCGAUUGGAGCGGCCGAUAUCAGAUUAGGUAGUUGGUGGGGUAAAGGCCCACCAAGCCGACGAUCUGUAGCUGGUCUGAGAGGACGACCAGCCACACUGGGACUGAGACACGGCCCAGACUCCUACGGGAGGCAGCAGUGGGGAAUUUUGGACAAUGGGCGCAAGCCUGAUCCAGCAAUGCCGCGUGCAGGAAGAAGG
rnacentral:rRNA from 1 species